AGAGUUUGAUUCUGGCUCAGGAUGAACGCUGGCGGCGUGCCUAACACAUGCAAGUCGAACGGGCCUCUUUCCUUCGGGAAAGAUGUGCUAGUGGCGAACGGGUGAGUAACACGUAAGUAACCUGCCCUUCAGAUGGGGACAACCUGGGGAAACUCGGGCUAAUACCCAAUAUGCUCAAGAGCUGCAACGCUCAAUGAGGAAAACUCCGGUGCUGAAGGAGGGGCUUGCGUAUGAUUAGCUUGUUGGUAGGGUAAUGGCCUACCAAGGCUACGAUCAUUAGCUGGUCUGAGAGGAUGAUCAGCCACACUGGGACUGAGAUACGGCCCAGACUCCUACGGGAGGCAGCAGUGGGGAAUUUUGCGCAAUGGGGGAAACCCUGACGCAGCGACGCCGUGUGAAUGAUGAAGCCUUUCGGGGUGUAAAGUUCUGUCAGCAGGGACGAUAGUGACGGUACCUGCAGAGGAAGCUCCGGCUAAUUAUGUGCCAGCAGCCGCGGUAAUACAUAAGGAGCGAGCGUUAUCCGGAUUUACUGGGCGUAAAGGGCGCGUAGGCGGCAAGAUAAGUUAGGUGUUAAAGGUUUCGGCUCAACCGGAACAUGCGCUUAAAACUGUUUUGCUAGAGAGUGGGAGAGGAAAGCGGAAUUCACAGUGUAGCGGCGAAAUGCGUAGAUAUUGUGAAGAACACCAGUGGCGAAGGCGGCUUUCUGGACCACAUCUGACGCUGAGGCGCGAAAGCGUGGGGAGCAAACAGGAUUAGAUACCCUGGUAGUCCACGCUGUAAACGGUGUUCAUUGGGUGUAGGAGGUAUCGACCCCUUCUGUGCCGCAGCUAACGCGUUAAAUGAACCGCCUGGGGAGUACGGCCGCAAGGUUGAAACUCAAAGAAAUUGACGGGGGCCCGCACAAGCAGUGGAGCAUGUGGUUUAAUUCGACGAUACGCGAAAAACCUUACCAAGGUUUGAAGUCUAGCGAAUCCUUUGGAAACUUAGGAGUGCCUUCGGGAGCGCUAAGGCAGGUGGUGCAUGGUUGUCGUCAGUUCGUGCCGUGAGGUGUUGGGUUAAGUCCCGCAACGAACGCAACCCUUGACGCGUGUUGCCAUCAUUAAGUUGGGAACUCACGCGUGACUGCCUGUUACAAGCAGGAGGAAGGAGAGGAUGACGUCAAAUCAUCAUGCCCCUUAUAUCUUGGGCUACACACAUGCUACAAUGGCCGGUACAAAGGGAAGCGAAGCCGCGAGGUGAAGCCAAUCUCAAAAAACCGGUCUCAGUUCGGAUUGUAGGCUGCAAUUCGCCUACAUGAAGCUGGAAUUGCUAGUAACCGCAGAUCAGCGCGCUGCGGUGAAUACGUUCCCGGGCCUUGUACACACCGCCCGUCACACCAUGAAAGCUGGAAAUACCCGAAGCCAGUGUGCUAACCGCAAGGAAGCAGCUGUCGAAGGUAGAGUUGGCAAUUGGGGUGAAGUCGUAACAAGGUA
rnacentral:rRNA from 1 species